GGGCCCGCACAAGCGGUGGAGCAUGUGGCUUAAUUCGAGGCAACGCGAAGAACCUUACCUGGUCUUGACAUGCCCGUCAUAGUUUUCCGAAAGGAAUUCGUCGGUUCGGCCGGACGGUGCACAGGUGCUGCAUGGCUGUCGUCAGCUCGUGUCGUGAGAUGUUCGGUUAAGUCCGGCAACGAGCGCAACCCUCGUUCCUAGUUGCCAGCGGGUAAUGCCGGGGACUCUAGGAAGACAAACCUCGUGUAGAGGUGGGAAGGUGGGGACGACGUCAAGUCAGUAUGGCCCUUACGACCAGGGCUGCACACGUGCUACAAUGCUCGGCACAAUGGGAUGCAACGCCGCGAGGUUGAGCUAAUCCAUAAAACCGAGCCCAGUUCGGAUUGGAGUCUGCAACUCGACUCCAUGAAGUUGGAAUCGCUAGUAA
rnacentral:rRNA from 1 species